CUGCAAGCCUCGGAGUUCUGCUGUGGCUACACCAGCAGGAAGACUGCUGAUGAAGGAGAUUUCAGUUUGCCUUAAAUGAGUUUCUAAUGUCCCCCCACACUCCAAUCUCCUUACUCCCAAGCCAAGCUAAGAAAAAGUGGGUGUCACUGCAAAGCGAAAGGAUUUCUAUCCCCUCACCAAAAUAAUUCUUUUUGUCUUUAGCUGCUGAGGAAAUGGCAUGUUACUGAGCCUUGAUGGCAUUACUGGCACUUUGAGUUUUACCGUUUCCUUAAAAUCACAGUACUGGAAUCAGAUGAAAUUUGCUUUCUAAGCUGCAGCCACUCGUCAUGUGCAGAAUUCUGCUGCCCACCCAAGUCCUGCUUAAACAGCCGCAUUUUAUAAGCUGGUACGGGAGCUCUGCAACAACCUUCACAGAGAAAGGAUCUGCUGCUUUAUUUGUAUACAAAAAGAAAAAGACAGUCCAAACUUUUCAGAAUCCCUUAUUGUCAUCUGCUGAAAGGGCAAGUUGUAGUUAGCAUGUUAAUCCUUGUAAAAAAUGCAUUAACUUUUCAUUUAGGGUGAAAUGCUUCCAGCUAAAAGACCUAAAGUGACUCAAUUAUGAUUCUUCGUCAAAGAAAACAUAAAAGCUGUUUGCAUUACAGUGUAAAGUGAAAUACAAAAAUAAAAUUAUUCUAAGGAU
ensembl:lncRNA novel transcript